GCGUUGUUCGGAUUUAUUGGGCGUAAAGGGUGCGUAGGCGGUUUGGCAAGUCUUGUGUGAAAUCUUCGGGCUCAACCCGAAGCCUGCAUAAGAAACUGCCGGGCUUGAGUAUGGGAGAGGUGAGUGGAAUUUCCGGUGUAGCGGUGAAAUGCGUAGAUAUCGGAAGGAACACCUGUGGCGAAAGCGGCUCACUGGACCAUAACUGACGCUGAGGCACGAAAGCUAG
rnacentral:rRNA from 1 species